UACGUAGGGUGCAGGCGUUAAUCGGAAUUACUGGGCGUAAAGCGUGCGCAGGCGGUUUGCUAAGACAGGUGUGAAAUCCCCGGGCUUAACCUGGGAACUGCGCUUGUAACUGGCAAGCUAGAGUGUGGCAGAGGGGGGGUGGAAUUCCACGUGUAGCAGUGGAAAUGCGUAGAUAUGCGGAGGAACACCGAUGGCGAAGGCAGCUCGCUGGGACGUUACUGACGCUGAGACGCGAAAGCGUGGGGAGCAAACAGG
rnacentral:rRNA from 1 species